rnacentral:rRNA from 1 species
UAGUGGCGAACGGGUGAGAACACGUGAGUAACCUGCCCUUAACUCUGGGAUAAGCCUGGGAAACUGGGUCUAAUACCGGAUAUGACUCCUCAUCGCAUGGUGGGGGGUGGAAAGC